UACGUAGGGACCAAGCGUUGUUCGGAUUUACUGGGCGUAAAGGGCGCGUAGGCGGCAUGGCAAGUCACUUGUGAAAUCUCCGGGCUUAACUCGGAACGGCCAAGUGAAACUGCCACGCUAGAGUGCAGAAGGGGCAAUCGGAAUUCUUGGUGUAGCGGCGAAAUGCGUAGAUAUCAAGAGGAACACCUGAGGUGAAGACGGGUUGCUGGGCUGACACUGACGCUGAGGCGCGAAAGCCAGGGGAGCAAACGGG
rnacentral:rRNA from 1 species